rnacentral:rRNA from 1 species
UCCUACGGGUGGCUGCAGUGGGGAAUUUUGGACAAUGGGCGCAAGCCUGAUCCAGCAAUGCCGCGUGCGGGAAGAAGGCCUUCGGGUUGUAAACCGCUUUUGUACGGAACGAAAAGGCGCUGGCUAAUACCUGGGGCUGAUGACGGUACCGUAAGAAUAAGCACCGGCUAACUACGUGCCAGCAGCCGCGGUAAUACGUAGGGUGCGAGCGUUAAUCGGAAUUACUGGGCGUAAAGGGUGCGCAGGCGGUCUUUGAAGACAGAGGUUGAAUCCCUGGGCUCAACCUAGGAAUGGCCUUUGUGACUGCAAGGCUGGAGUGCGGCAGAGGUGGAUGGAAUUCCGCGUGUAGCAGUGAAAUGCGUAGAUAUGCGGAGGAACACCGAUGGCGAAGGCAGUCCCCUGGGCCUGCACUGACGCUCAUGCACGAAAGCGUGGGGAGCAAACAGGAUUAGAUACCCGAGUAGUCUGA